CAUCUCUUCUAUCCGUGCUCUCCCUCUCCUCCCGAUCUCAGCCGCCAGAGGUGCCCGACACGGGGUGACGCUCGAUCCGGUGCCGCGCCGGCCGCGGUGGGGGACGAGCUCGCCCUGGUGGAGACGCGACAGAUCCACCAGUCCAUCCCCCGCUCGCCGUACGCCCCGACCUCCACCAGAAGCAUUGGAGAGGAUGGAGGCGCACAUGUGUUUUUGGGCUGCCACUCGGCCGGAAUUAAUGGAGAUGGGGGCGAUGGUGGGUAUGUGGACGGGGCCGCGCGGUGCAACACGGGGUGGGAGGCACAUCAAGCGUAGCCCUGCUAAAGCUUCCGGCAGAAUUUCCGUCCCCACCACGGGCGGCCGCCUGAUCCCAUCCGUGCCGCCACACCAGAACGGGGAUUACUCCCACGUGGCGGAAGGCCAUGGGCUUGGAUGUUGGGGAGUGGCUGGUGGAGGACACGGUGAACGCUGGGGUGGGGGCUGGCUAGCUCUGCCGUUGCCAAUUUUGGUGUUCUGCGUGUGAGUGGAAUUUUUGGUUCGCUACGUCCAUGUGCUUGGUGCACUGGGGUGUGAUUAGAACGGGCCUACAUGGUGCUCGCCGUCGAUGAUGCCGUUUCUCGGCUCUCGUCGCGGCCAUGAUCUUACAUCUGUUGCUGUUCAUGGUGAUUAGAAUGGGUAUUCCGCCAGAUUGCGUGUGUUUGCUCCUGCUAGGACAUGGGAUUGUCUAAUGUGUCCGCCUGUGCGAGAUUUGCGGCUAUUGGGAUUGCAAUUGCUUCGUCCAUUGUCAAUCACUCCUUUCUUGCAUGUUAGGAUUCUCUGUACUAAACUGACACUCGGUUGGAUUUACUCUUUCACGGCUCUAUGAAAAAUCUAGCACGACUAAUCUCAUGUGGCCGCUGGAGGACUACUUGCCAGUUCUUCUAGGAUUGGUGAAAGAAGGCGAGUAAUUGCUGAAAUUUGAUGUUGUGCUUGUGUUUUCAUUUUGCUGGUUUGCAAUUCUGUUUAUUUUUCCUUUCCAUGAAUACUGUAAAAUGUGCAGGUACUGACUUGAGGCUCAGUUCGUUUGGGCUAGCCAAGAGGACGAGGUAAGCUAAGUGACAUGCGCCAAAGUUUUCUGUUAUAUAAUGACCUGUUAGUGCUUAGCUAAACUGCAUGAAACAAUCAUCGUGGAUGGAUGGUACUAGGUGUUGUCCGUGCUGCAUUUGAUGGCCAUGGUCAAAAGCCAACUCUUCCUCCUCCGGGAUCGAUUUCAUUUCCAGCUUGCUCUGCCACGGAUGGAUCUUCAGUCAUCCAUGCCGUUCGUGUUGUGCUCCCGUCGCCGGCCGUGUGUGAGUGGUGUGACCUGCACACUCUAUUGGCGGAGAAAGCAGGCAGUUGCAGGCAGAGGAAGCAGCUUGCUACUUGCAGAGGAAGAUUAGGAUUGCAUAGCACGAUUAGAAUGGCUCAUUUUAUGGUUUUGGUCUGGAUCGGUAAACCGUGAAUUGAUAUUUGUUUCUUGGUGCAGGAGCUUCAAGGCAACAGGGUUAGCAGGAUUCAUGCCAACAAAUUCUAUGAUUUCCUUCCCAAAUCUGAAAUUGUACAUGCACUCGUGUAUGAAUGUUGACAAUUUGAUUGCAGCGGGGACUGGCAAAUAAAGUGCAGUGCUCAUCGUUGCAUAUAUAUUCAGGCCAACAUCAAACUUCGGUAUGAGGAUCAGGCAGGUAGCUUCAUGCAUCAUUGGAUAUGAGAAUUGUUUACUAUAUAUUGGGAAUUGUUUCUGUUUCUUGGAGAUAUUAACCGUAGCUUCUUAUUAGUGCAAGCAUGGUGAAAGAGCUAUAUUGUUGUGCCUUUCUUGGAUUCAGAUUCUUCUAUUCCAUAUGGUCACAAGAAACUUGAGAGUAUUUCACAAAUCUUUGCCUUGCCAAAAUAAGGGUGACUGCAAACUCACUUAUUCUAGCCUAUUUAGUUUCUGAUUGCUCACUUUCUUAUUUAUGUGCUGAGUUAGGAGUUUACACAGAUUAAAGGUAUGGUGGAACUGUACAUGCCACAGCCAAAAUAUGGAACUGUCCUCUCGCCCCUGCCAUGUCGUUGUUCUAUUACACAACUGAUGACAUCGGCCUCUGAAGCUGCUCAUAGUCGCGGGGAUAGACUGACUUGUAGCAAAGAGCUGGCCACUGAAGAUUAGUUCGUGCAGGGGCGAAUCAUGAUCCAGAAGCAACGGUAGACAAUACAAAGUACAUAAAACAUUUCCAAAGAGAUAGCAGAAUACCAAUGUGUGUAGAGAGUAUUUACAUGAGCAUAGAAGAAUGCAAAAAUAUUCGUGGCAUAAACAACUUGAUUACAACAUGGUAGUUGUUGUUGUAUUUCCAGUUCAUACUUUCUGUUUUUUUUUUGUUACAAUAUAGCAAUCCUUCACAUUAUUUGGAAAGAAGAUACCUAAACCUUUCUGUUUGUUGCCUGAGAAAUAUAUGUAGUACUCUACUGAGCUCUUACUGAAAUUCUAAUGGUAUUUGCUUUUCUUCUCUUUUGGUGCCAAAAACAAAAUAAAAAAUCAGUAAGUAAAAUAAUUUGUGGUAGUCUGAAGGAGUUACAGUUGGCUGCACAACGCAUGGGUUGGAUUAUUGUUUUUUUCUCAAUGACAGAGUUGUAGAGUUGCACCGUGAGAGUGUAUUGGGAAGCUACUAAUUGUGAGAGGGUAGUCCUGAUGUUCAGAGCAUGUGACCAUCAUGUGUUGGUCCAUUGAACCUUGAUUUUCUCUCUCUCAGAGAAACGUGGAAGCUGGAAGGUAAUGAGAUAUGUAUUCCCGCCAGUGUUAUAACCAUAACUUCAUAAUUAUGCAUGCAAUUGUUAUUUGAUCUAUUUCACAUGUUUCCUUGCUAUAUUCAUCCAGUCUUAAAUCCAAAAAGGUGAACAUUAGUCAUUACUCUUAAUAAUAAUUUGUGGCUUAGCAUCAUGCAUAAACGUUAUUACCAUAAAAACUGUAAAUUGGAGUCUUCUAUGAAACUAUUUUUCUUGCAAUUCCUACUCUUAAAGUCAGAGUUUAUAAAUGGAAAUGUCUAAAUUAAAUUCUGCUAUUAUAUCCAUUCACACAAAUACCUCGACGAUUUUCAGUUGUUAAUACAUAAAGAACAAUAAGCAUGUCUCGGGUUGGUACACAAAUAGAAUCCCAAAUAACGGAAAAGAAAAACAAAAUGUUCAAAACAAUAUCGCACGUAAGUAUAUUUAGACGGCAUUUUUUUAUGAACAUCAUCUUUUAUCAAGUUAAUAUAUCUUUUAUUAAGCAGAACAAUGUUCAGGUUUACGAAAAAAACUAUUUAAGGUUUGGGAUAAAGUUGUUCUAGCUUCCAAGAAUUGUUCCAAGUCCAUGAGGAAAAUAUCCCAGGUUUAGGGAAAAUAUUUAUCCAUGUUUAUGAUUAUUUCUUAAUGAGCCAGCGACAACAGUUAACCUAAUCAGAUUAAGAUGUCUUGAAUUAAUCUCAGACAAUUAAUACACCAUCAUGACUAGAUAGCACCUUAAACAGUUGACGUGGCAAUACAACUAGGAAAGACCCGAACUGAACAAACAUACAUUUCUCAGUCGUUUUGCAAAAAUGGUCCUGCUGAAAGCACAAUUUUUUUUCAUGUUGGGAAUAAUUGAUGUGGGAAAUGAAGCCAUCAGUUGUAUUUUCAGCCAUACUUACUACUCCCUUUGUUCCCAAAUAUAAAUAUUUCUAGAGAUUUCAACAAGUGACUACAUACGGAGCAAAAUGAGUGAAUCUAAACUCUAAAAUCUGUCUACAUACAUCCGUAUGUUGUAGUACAUUUGAAAUGUCUAAAAAGACUUAUAUUUAGAAACAGAGGGAGUAUCUGAAUGGGAAAUGUGAUGGAGUUUUCUUCCAUUGCAACAAAUUUAAGGGCGUGAUAAAUAUUUCUCCCGUUGCAACGCACGGGCUCUUUUGCUAGAAUAUAUAAUAAUCUUUCCCUACUAAUAAAGCACGGAGUGCUUCUGGUCGUACGUCGUCGGCGUUUUUGCGAAAAAGCCCCUCUGUUUCUUUGAAAUUAACCCGCAGUCCAAGUUAGAAAACAUCUGGGCCAAAGCCAGUCGAGUGCCGCCCGCCCGUACGCCGCUCCGCAGCCACGCGCCCGAGGUCGAGCUCCCGAGCGCGCCGCCGCCUCGACCUCGCGACCCGCCGGCGACCGGAUCCUCGCCGAAGAUGAGUGCCGCCGUGCCCUGCUCCCUCCUCUCUUCCUCUGUCUCCUCUCACCUCGCUCAUCCCCCGAUCUCUCUAUCCCCAGAACGAACAGGAGCAUGCCAUGGCCUCGGAUCCGCGCCGCCGUCGCCGGAGAACAUCGUUCGCCACCGGUUCUUCGACCACAACUACCGGAUCAAGUUGCCCCGCCUCCGAUCUACCCGUUCCCGGCCACCCCAACCUCGCCUCGUCGUCGGGCGCGUAGAGAGACGGCCAUGACCGCCGGAUUCCCGAGCGCCGCCGGCCAAGGUCUUGGAGGAGACCGUCGAGGUCUUGGAGGGGUGGUUCUGGAGCACAAGCUGCGGCGAGUUGUCGGCUAUGUGACAGAGGAGACCCCCGAGGUCUUGCAAGGGUGGUUCUGGAGCGAAGUGGGAUGUGUGUCAGGUGAAGGACUCCCUUGUGGCGAACGGCGCUGGGUGCUAUCAGCUGAGAAGGCUUCAGGCCGGACCAUGGAUGGUGCAGCGGGUGAGAGUUGGGGCAGACGGCGAGUGCGGUGGAUGCGGAUGCCGCCUAGGUUCUGUUGAUAUCGACAUGGAGGAUACAUAGAGUUUGCUGACUCUAUUUCUGGGUUGGCCCUUGAGAGGGAAACCAAGGCAAAAUUCAGCCAAUUUCAGAACCCUUCUUUUGUACUCCUACAGAUAGCAGAUGAAAGGACAGGGGUGAAGAAGUCAAGCUAUUGGAGAGGUCAAUUGAGGAGAUCGGAAGUACUUUAUGUGCUUUCAAAAGUAUCUUUAUUCAGUUUGAGUGGAUUUUGUGGCCUAACUUCCAGACUAGCACUUUGGAAGAAGUUAGAAUUUCUGUUAAUACGACUUUAGUUUAGCCUGACUGAAAUAAGGGGCAAUACUUAAUUUUGUACUGUA